UACGAAGGGGGCUAGCGUUGCUCGGAAUGACUGGGCGUAAAGGGCGCGUAGGCGGCUCAUACAGUCAGAUGUGAAAUCCCCGGGCUUAACCUGGGAACUGCAUUGGUGACUGCACGGCUAGAGUGUGUCAGAGGGGGGUAGAAUUCCACGUGUAGCAGUGAAAUGCGUAGAGAUGUGGAGGAAUACCGAUGGCGAAGGCAGCCCCCUGGGAUAACACUGACCGCUCAUGCACGAAAGCGUAGGGGAGCAA
rnacentral:rRNA from 1 species